rnacentral:tRNA from 1 species
GACAGUUUGGCCGAGUGGUCUAAGGCGCUGUCUUAAGGCGCCCGUCCGAAAGGGCGUGGGUUCGAACCCCACAGCUGUCA